GGAAGGAUCAUUAACACGUUCCUAAAAACAAAUCUUUAAAACAUGUGUGAACCUGUGUCGGGAGUGGCCAAUUCUUCGGAAACGGUCAUUCUCGCGUUUAUUUUAUUUACCAAAAACCACAAUUUAAUCGUUUGACAGUUUUAAAAAAAAAGUAAUAUGUGCAUGCACAUAUUAGUAACGCUUAUACAACUUUUAGCAACGGAUAUCUUGGUUCUCGCAACGAUGAAGAACGCAGCGAAAUGCGAUACGUAGUGCGAAUUGCAGAAUUCAGUGAAUCAUCGAAUCUUUGAACGCAAAUUGCGCUUCCGGGCAUCUGCUUGGGAGCAUGCCUCUUUGAGCAUCGGUUUUCAUCCCUACUACUGUUUGUUUUCUAGGAAACGAUGCAGUAUGUGAAUCUUAGAUGAGUUUGUCAUGGCUGUCAAAAGCUAUGUCACUUGAAAUAUCUUUUAAAAUUGUUGAAGUGCUACUUGAUACUCUGUAAAUUGUUCAGGUGGUGGCGCAAUGUUUGGUUGGUGUUUCGGCAUCUUCUCGGCAUUGAAAAUGCUCCACUCGCUUGUAUGAGAAACAUGUAUUGAGAAUUGUGCUUUAAUAACGACAUGACUAUAUAGGUCAAGUCAAUUUCCAAAUUAUUGAUCUCAAAUGAGGUAAGAGGACCCGCUGAACUUAAGCAUAUUAAUAAGCGGAGGAAAAGAAACUAACAAGGAUUCCCCUAGUAACGGCGAGUGAAGCGGGAAUAGCUCAACUUGAAAAUUGGAAGGCUUUAGGUCUUCCGAAUUGUAGUCUAGAGAACUGGUGGCAGCGUGUGGCCCAGGCCUAAGUCCUUUGGAAGAAGGCGUCAGGGAGGGUGAGAACCCCGUCUGUGGCUUGGAGAUCUCGCCGCGUACGUCGCCAGUUUCUACGAGUCGGGUUGUUGGGAAUGCAGCCCAAAAUGGGUGGUAAAUUCCAUCUAAAGCUAAUACUUGCGAGAGACCGAUAGCGAACAAGUACCGUGAGGGAAAGAUGAAAAGAACUUUGAAAAGAGAGUUAAAAAGUGCUUGAAAUUGCUAAAAUGGAAGCAAUGGAAACCAGUAGUCGUGUCAUGCUCAUUUUCCUGUCUGGUGGGUGGCAGGCUGGUGUUCAAGAGUUUUUACGACCUUGAGCUGUUGGUCUUGUCGCUUGCUGGGCAGUCCCUGUGAGUGUGGCCGUGUCAGACCCGCUUUGGAUGCGCAGGAUAUGCGCCUGAUGGAAGGUGACAGGGAUCUGCUUUACGCGGUGAACUGUGUUUACUAUGCCGUCGGGACCGCGCUGUGCCGCUGGAGCGGUAGUUUCUCACCUCUCGAUAGGUGGGCUCCUGAUAGUGUAAGGUGGUGGAUGCUGUGUGUCGGUCGGUAUAUGGGAAAACAAAGUUUUGCCAUGUCUGGCCGGUGUACACCGUCUGUUGCUCUGAGCUGUCAGCUCUGACGUAAAUGGUUUCACUGACCCGUCUUGAAACACGGACCAAGGAGUCUGACAUAUAUGCGAGUAUUUGGGUGCUUGAAACCCUGAUGCGUAAUGAAAGUGAAGGCAGGCAGUGGUCUGCCGAGGUGGGACUCUGGCCACCUAGUGUGUUAAGCCAGAUGCACCAUCGACCGAUCGUUCACUUGUGGAGGAUUUGAGUGAGAGCAUAUCUGUUGGGACCCGAAAGAUGGUGAACUAUGCCUGGACAGGGCGAAGCCAGGGGAAACUCUGGUGGAGGCUCGUAGCGAUACUGACGUGCAAAUCGUUCGUCUGAUCUGGGUAUAGGGGCGAAAGACUAAUCGAACCAUCUAGUAGCUGGUUCCCUC
rnacentral:misc_RNA from 1 species